rnacentral:lncRNA from 1 species
ACAAAUAUUUUUUAUUUUCAUCCUAAAUAUCUCUUUCAGAUCUCAAUUAAAAGUAAUCUAUGUUCAUUUUAACAAUUCCAUUCCUUAUCCAUAUUUAAUUCUAGGCUAAAUUUCAUAAAAAAUCUUGAACCUUAUGACCCAAUUUAACUUAAAUCUUGAAUUUUAAUUUCUCACUAUUCAGCUCCUGACCUUUUUACCUUUUAAAAUGUGAUCCCUUCAUCGCUCUGGCAUUAAAUAGGUAAUGAAAAAUAGCACGUGCC